GAUGAAGAACGCAGCGAAAUGCGAUAAGUAAUGUGAAUUGCAGAAUUCAGUGAAUCAUCGAAUCUUUGAACGCACAUUGCGCCCGCCAGUAUUCUGGCGGGCAUGCCUGUCUGAGCGUCAUUUCAACCCUCAUGCCCCUAGGGCGUGGUGUUGGGGAUCGGCCAAAGCCCGCGAGGGACGGCCGGCCCCUAAAUCUAGUGGCGGACCCGCCGUGGCCUCCUCUGCGAAGUAGUGAUAUUCCGCAUCGGAGAGCGACGAGCCCCUGCCGUUAAACCCCCAACUUUCCAAGGUUGACCUCAGAUCAGGUAGGAAUACCCGCUGAACUUAAGCAUAUCAAUAAGCGGAGGA
rnacentral:misc_RNA from 1 species